AUGGGCGGCGGUGGCCUCGACGGCGACUGGGCGGUGCUGCCCUCCCCUCCCCUCGCCGAGGUCACCCUCACCCUCGUCGGGAAGAUCAGCACCGGGAAGAGCGCCACCGCGAACUGCAUCCUUGGGACCCAAGCCUUCGCGUCGGAGCUUGCCUACGUGAGCGUCACCGAGACCUGCCAGAAGAGCAGCGCCAGCUUCCACGACGGCUGCGGCGCCACCCGCACCGUCAACGUCAUUGACACCCCGGGCUUAUUUGACAUGGAGAUCUCGAUUGAGGAUGCCCGUAAAGAGAUCGUAAAGUGCAUAGAGAUGAGCAAAGGUGGCAUACAUGCUAUGCUUAUGGUGUUCUCAGCCACAUCACGGUUUUCUUGCGAAGAGGAGAAAACAGUCGAGUCGAUUAAACGGUUUUUCGGUGGCCAAAUCCUCGACCACAUUAUAUUGGUUUUCACACAUGGAGAUGUGGUGGAGGAUGAAGCUGCUUGGGAGAAAGUGCUAGCAGAGAGGUCCCCGGUUUAUCUUCAGGACAUGAUAAAGCUUUGUCAAAAUAGGGUUGUUCUCUUUGACAACUUGACCAAUAAUAUCGAGCACCGUGAGAUGCAACGCAGGAAAUUGCUUGCUGCAGUUGACUUUGUUAUAUCAAGCAAUGGUGGCAAAGCAUUUUCCUACCAGAUGUUCCCUCAGAUUCUGGGGGAUGCUAUAGAUACCUAUGAAAAAAUGAAAACUAUAUUUGGGCACCCCAUGAGUGAGAAGGUUGAAUCCACCUCUCUUUUAUGCUUUUAUCAAAACAAAAUUAUCAAAGAGAUGAAGGCUAGCUUAGAUGCAAAUUUCCGUAGCGUGCUUAACCUUUCUUCCACCAUUAAUGGCAAUGUUGAUGAAAACCUGAACUGUACGGAAGAGGAGAUCCAGAGGCUCAAGGAGAGGCUGGAGAAAUCUCAGAAAGAGCAUGAUAAUGCAGAGAACCUGAGAAGGCUAGAGGAGGAGAAGAUGAAGGAGCAGAAAAAAGAGAUCAACAAUCUGAGAGAGGAACUUGAGAGGGCAAGGCGGGUAGAGAUGGCGCGCAAGGAGAAGGAGAUCCAGAGGUUCAUGGAGAGCCUCGACCUGGCAAACAAGGAGAAGGACAACUACAGAACAAUGUAUGAGAACAAGUGCAUCGUUAUGUGA
rnacentral:rRNA from 1 species